rnacentral:rRNA from 1 species
GAUGAACGCUGGCGGCGUGCCUAAUACAUGCAAGUCGAGCGAACGGACGAGAAGCUUGCUUCUCUGAUGUUAGCGGCGGACGGGUGAGUAACACGUGGAUAACCGACCUAUAAGACUGGGAUAACUUCGGGAAACCGGAGCUAAUACCGGAUAAUAUUUUGAACCGCAUGGUUCAAAAGUGAAAGACGGUCUUGCUGUCACUUAUAGAGGGAUCCGCGCUGCAUUAGCUAGUUGGUAAGGUAACGGCUUACCAAGGCAACGAUGCAUAGCCGACCUGAGAGGGUGAUCGGCCACACUGGAACUGAGACACGGUCCAGACUCCUACGGGAGGCAGCAGUAGGGAAUCUUCCGCAAUGGGCGAAAGCCUGACGGAGCAACGCCGCGUGAGUGAUGAAGGUCUUCGGAUCGUAAAACUCUGUUAUUAGGGAAGAACAUAUGUGUAAGUAACUGUGCACAUCUUGACGGUACCUAAUCAGAAAGCCACGGCUAACUACGUG